AUGCAGUCGAACGCGAAAGUUCCCUUCGGGGAGCGAGUAGAGUGGCGCACGGCCNUUUUAACACGUAGGGUAAUUUGCCUUUGGGUGGGGAAUACCAACCGGAAACGGUUGUUAAUACCGCAUAAUGCAGCGGCAUCACAUGAUGACAGUUGUUAAAGCGGGGGAUUGGAGCAAUCCGACCUCGCGCCUGAAGAGAAGCCUGCGGCAGAUUAGGUAGUUGGUGAGGUAAUGGCUCACCAAGCCUGCGAUCUGUAACCGGCCUGAGAGGGCGGUCGGUCACACUGACACUGACAUACGGGUCAGACUCCUACGGGAGGCAGCAGUCGGGAAUUUUGGGCAAUGGGCGAAAGCCUGACCCAGCAACGCCGCGUGAAGGAUGAAAUUUUUCGGAAUGUAAACUUCGCAAGAAUGGGAAGAAUAAGUAGGGGACAAUACCCCCUAUGAUGACGGUACCAUUUGUAAGCUCCGGCUAACUUCGUGCCAGCAGCCGCGGUAAUACGAGGGGAGCAAGCGUUGUUCGGAUUUACUGGGCGUAAAGGGCGCGUAGGCGGCUCUACAAGUCACUUGUGAAAUCUCCGGGCUUAACUCGGAACGGUCAAGUGAUACUGUCGAGCUAGAGUGCAGAAGGGGCAAUUGGAAUUCUCGGUGUAGCGGUGAAAUGCGUAGAUAUCGAGAGGAACACCAGAGGCGAAGGCGGAUUGCUGGCUGACACUGACGCUGAGGCGCGAAACUAGGGGAGCGAACGGGNAUAGAUACCCCCGGUAGUCCUA
rnacentral:rRNA from 1 species